UUUGAAAAUGGAUCCAGAUCUACAAAGAUGUGAAAAUAGAUUCAGAUCGAAGAUCAAAACAGUGACAAGCAUCACCCACAGAUCAUUCAGUAAUUGUGAAUUUUUCUUCUCGGUAACUCUCUCCGGAUUUUCCUCUUCUCGGCGAUCCCUCGUUCAUGAUUGAAUUCGGGAAGCAUAUCUCAUGCUCUCUCUACAGUUGUCUAACAACACCGACAACUAUGUUGCUUUCAAGGUUGUUCUAAGUGUCGGCAUGCAAAGAGUUUGUGCAUUUGGAGCUAUGACUUUUGGGAGAGAAUAUAGCUAUGUUACAUACUUUCAUUCUUUAUUAAGUUAUGAAAUUGUUAAAGUGUUGAUAAAUCAGAUGAGAUAAAGUUGUCUCAAUUUAUAAUUUAUAUUAUCUUUUUCUUAUCUUUCUAAUUAUUUUCCACUGUUGUUUUCUUUUUUAUAGAAUCAUAGUUUUCCUGUACAACACAGCUGAAUCAAUGACAAGCAGAUUGACGUUGUCUUUGACCCACAAGUUAAACAAAGUCAUUAUUUGUUACAUGAAAAGCCACAUACUGGUAUUUUAAAUGCUGGUGCAUUCUCAAAAGAAGCAAGAUAAUAUUGCAAAAAGUGGUUAAAUCAACAAUAAAGAAGAAAGAGGAAAAAAAUUGGGUGGUGCGUGACUUCUCUUGGCUAUGCUCAUGCUUAUUUAUGUGUACUAAUAGCAUUGCUUCCAUUUUUUUUUUAAUGUAUUUUGGCUCUACACAAACAUUUAAAAUAAAGGAGGUUAAAAUAUAAUAUGAUAUUUUGCAUCUAAUUUUGUUCUCAAAAGCAUACAUCAAGUUAUUAAAAAAAUACUUAUGUCCUCUCAACUCUAGUCGUCGUCACUUUUCUUCUUCUUCUGUAUCCCCUAGAGAGGGGUGAUUUAGGAUCGAUUUUGAUCUAAAAUCACCCCUCCAAAUCGUUUUUGUUUCUCUAUUAGUUAACUAAUUGAUUUUCACAUAUUUAGUGUUUUUUUGUUAUUUCGUCAUUUUAGUGCGUCGUUGUUUGUUUUGAUUUCCCGUCUUUGUGCGGUGUAUUUUGUUUUUCUGUCUUUGUGCAUAGUGUUCAUUUGUUUUAGGUUGAAAGAUGAGUUUCGAUCAAGUGCAGAUCCUAUCUAUAACUUUGGUGCCAUCAACGCUACAGAUCUGGAGGCAUGAAUAUUUCGGAGAUUUCAAUAGAGUCAUAGUUAUAUUCGUAGGCAUAUGCAAUUUGCCGUUUUAUGCUUUAACAUGGAUGCUGUGAGUUUGUUUGUAAAUUCAUCCUUUUUGUUUUUGGCGAUUUUUAAUUUGUAUUGCAACAAUGUUCUUUAUCGACUGGAAUGA